rnacentral:rRNA from 1 species
GACGAACGCUGGCGGCGCGCCUAACACAUGCAGGUCGAACGAGCGAGAGAGAGCUUGCUUUCUCGAGCGAGUGGCGAACGGGUGAGUAACGCGUGAGGAACCUGCCUCAAAGAGGGGGACAACAGUUGGAAACGACUGCUAAUACCGCAUAAGCCCACGGUGCCGCAUGGCACAGAGGGAAAAGGAGCAAUCCGCUUUGAGAUGGCCUCGCGUCCGAUUAGCUAGUUGGUGAGGUAAUGGCCCACCAAGGCGACGAUCGGUAGCCGGACUGAGAGGUUGAACGGCCACAUUGGGACUGAGACACGGCCCAGACUCCUACGGGAGGCAGCAGUGGGGAAUAUUGCACAAUGGGGGAAACCCUGAUGCAGCGACGCCGCGUGGAGGAAGAAGGUCUGCGGAUUGUAAACUCCUGUUGUUGGGGAAGAUAAUGACGGUACCCAACAAGGAAGUGACGGCUAACUACGUA